AUUGAACGCUGGCGGCAUGCUUUACACAUGCAAGUCGAACGGUAACAGGGUGCUUGCACCGCUGACGAGUGGCGAACGGGUGAGUAAUGCGUCGGAACGUGCCGAGUAGUGGGGGAUAACGCAUCGAAAGGUGUGCUAAUACCGCAUACGUACUGAGGUAGAAAGUGGGGGACCUUCGGGCCUCACGCUAUUCGAGCGGCCGACGUCUGAUUAGCUAGUUGGUGAGGUAAAGGCUCACCAAGGCGACGAUCAGUAGCGGGGCUGAGAGGAUGAUCCGCCACACUGGGACUGAGACACGGCCCAGACCCCUACGGGAGGCAGCAGUGGGGAAUUUUGGACAAUGGGCGCAAGCCUGAUCCAGCCAUGCCGCGUGUCUGAAGAAGGCCUUCGGGUUGUAAAGGACUUUUGUCCGGGAGUAAAUACCCAGUGCUAAUAACACUGGGGGCUGAGAGUACCGGAAGAAUAAGCACCGGCUAACUACGUGCCAGCCGCCGCCGUAAGAC
rnacentral:rRNA from 1 species